UAGGGAAUAUUAGUAAUGGGCGAAAGCCUGAACUAGCAACACCGCGUGUGCGAAGAAGGCCUUCGGGUUGUAAAGUGCUUUUUGAGAGGAUGAGGAAGGACAGUACUCUUAGAAUAAGCUUCGGCUAACUACGUGCCAGCAGCCGCGGUAAAACGUAGGAAGCGAGCGUUAUCCGGAUUUACUGGGCGUAAAGCGUGUGUAGGCGGUUUGAUAAGUUGGAUGUGAAAGCUCCUGGCUUAACUGGGAGAGGUCGUUCAAAACUAUCAGACUCGAGAGUGGUAGAGGGAGGUGGAAUUCCGGGUGUAGUGGUGAAAUGCGUAGAUAUCCGGAGGAACACCAGUGGCGAAAGCGGCCUCCUGGCCCAUUUCUGACGCUCAGACACGAAAGCUAAGGUAGCAAACG
rnacentral:rRNA from 1 species